CCGCAACCCACAUCCCACACCCCACAUCCCAUACCCCGCAACCCACACCCCACAUCCCGUACCAAACAUCCUGUACCCCAUACCCCACAUCCCGCACCCCACAUCCCAUACCAAACAUCCUGCACCCCACACCCCACAUUCCACACCCCACAUCCCGCACCCCACAUCCCACACCCCACAUCUCACACCCCACAUCCCACACCCUACAUCCCACACCCUACAUCCCACACCCUACAUCCCACACCCCACAUCCCAUACCCCGCAACCCACACCCCACAUCCCGUACCAAACAUCCUGUACCCCAUACCCCACAUCCCGCACCCCACAUCCCAUACCAAACAUCCUGCACCCCACACCCCACAUUCCACACCCCACAUCCCGCACCCCACAUCCCACACCCCACAUCUCACACCCCACAUCCCACACCCUACAUCCCACACCCUACAUCCCACACCCUACAUCCCACACCCCACAUCCCAUACCCCACAACCCACACCCCACAUCCCGUACCAAACAUCCUGCACCCCACACCCCACAUCCCGCACCCCACAUCCCAUAUCCUCCACCCCACAGCCAAAACUGUGCGACAGAACCAGGGGGGUUCCAUCCGCUGCAAAACAGGUCCUAAAUGGGUGCAGGCCCCAAAUGGAUGCAGGUCCUGAAUGGGGACGAGUCCCACAUGGGUGCGGGUCCCAGAUGAAUGCUCACCCCAAAUGGGUGCGGGUCCCGAAUGGAUUCAGGUCCCAAAUGGGUGCGGGUCCAAAAUGAGUUCAAAUCCUACAUGGGUGCACAUUCCAGACAGGUGUGGAUCCCAAAUGGGUGCAGGUCCCACGAGGGUUCAUAUCCCAAAUGGGUGCCCAUCCCAAAUAGGUGCGGAUCCCAAAUGGAUGCGGGUCCCAAAUAGGUGCAGAUCUGAAAUGGAUGUGGAUCCCAAACGGAUGUGGGUUCUAAAUAGGUGUGGAUCCCAAUGGGUCCCAAAUGGGUGCCCAUCCCAAAUAGGUGUGGAUCCCAAUGGGUGCGGGUCUCAAAUGGGUGCCCAUCCCAAAUAGGUGUGGAUCCCAAUGGGUGCAGGCCCCAAAUGGGUGCCCAUCCCAAAUAGGUGUGGAUCCCAAUGGGUGCGGGUCUCAAAUGGGUGCCCAUCCCAAAUAGGUGUGGAUCCCAAUGGGUGCAGGCCCCAAAUGGGUGCCCAUCCCAAAUAGGUGUGGAUCCCAAAUGGGUGCAGGCCCCAAAUGGGUGCCCAUCCCAAAUAGAUGUGGAUCCCAAUGGCUCCCAAAUGGGUGCCCGUCCCAAAUAGGUGUGGAUCCCAAUGGGUGCAGGUCCCGUACGGGUGCCAAUCCCAAAUAGGAGUGGAUCCCAAUGGGUGCAGGCCCCAAAUGGGUGCCCAUCCCAAAUAGGUGGGUGUGGAUCCCAAUGGGUGCACUGUGGGAACCGUCCUCUGCGGUGCUGUGUCCGAAGAGCGGCAGUCCUGGCAGCCGGAAUGGGGACAUCGGCACCAUAGGAGCGAUCCAACCCCAUAGUGCUGAUGCUUGGACAGCGGCAGCCCCAUAGGUGUGGGGCUGAGGAGGUCACUGUCUGCCCCGGGUGCAUCAAUCUCUCCAUCCUAAACUGCAGAGCGAAUGGUUUGGGUUUGUUGCAUCGGCUCUUUGGGUUUUGCACCAUUGCAGUGCCUGUGGGGCGGUCUGCUGCAUUGGUCCUUUGGGUUUUGCACCAUUGCAGUGCAGUGGGGUGUGUUUGCUGCAUGCAGUGUGUCUGUAGGACACGUUGUGGGUCAGACCUUUGGGUUUUGCACCGUUGCAAAGCCAAUGGAGUGUGUUUGCUGCACCCGGUGUGCCUGUGGGAUAUAUGUGGGUCCGCUCUUCGGGUACUGCACCACUGCAAAGGCAAUGGGGUGGGUUUGUUGCAUUGGCCUUUGAUAUUCUGCAGCACUGCAACGGCAGUGGGGUGUGUUUGCUGCACCGUGUGGCUGUAGGACACCUGUGGGUCGUUCCUUUGGGUGUUGCACCAUUGCAAAGGCAAUGGGGUGGGUUUGUUGCAUUGACCCUUUGGGUUUUGCACCAUUGCAACGUCAGUGGGGUGUGUUUGCUGCACCCGGUGCGCCUGUAGGAUAUAUGUGGGUCAGCUCUUUGGGUAUUGCACCAUUGCAAAGGCAAUGGGGUGGGUUUGUGGCAUCGACCCUUUGGGUUUUGCACCAUUGCAACGUCAGUGGGGUGUGUUUGCUGCACCUGGUGCACCUGUAGGACAUGUGUGGGUUGGGCCUUUGGGUUUUGCACCAUUGCAAAGACAGUGGGGUGGGUUUGCUGCCCUGGGCUUUGGGUUCUGCAUCACUGCUUUGCUAACGGGACGGUUUGCUGCAUUGGUCCUUUGGGUUUUGCAUCACUGCAAAGCAUGAGGGGUGUUCCAAGCAUUCUGCCGUAGGGUCCCUCAGCUUUGGGGGCUCAGGUUGUUGUGCUGUUUCCAAUUCUAAGGAUCCUGAAUGGAAAUGGAGCGUAUUUCGGGGCCGGGUCUGAUGGGAUCCCUUUGCCCUUCCGAAGCAGUGGGG
ensembl:lncRNA